UGAGGAAUAUUGGUCAAUGGGCGAGAGCCUGAACCAGCCAAGUCGCGUGAAGGAAGACAGUCCUAAGGAUUGUAAACUUCUUUUAUACGGGAAUAACGGGCGAUAGGNGUAUUGCAUUGAAUGUACCGUAAGAAUAAGCAUCGGCUAACUCCGUGCCAGCAGCCGCGGUAAUACGGAGGAUGCGAGCGUUAUCCGGAUUUAUUGGGUUUAAAGGGUGCGUAGGUUGUUCGGUAAGUCAGCGGUGAAACCUGAGCGCUCAACGUUCAGCCUGCCGUUGAAACUGCCGGGCUUGAGUUCAGUGGCGGCAGGCGGAAUUCGUGGUGUAGCGGUGAAAUGCAUAGAUAUCACGAGGAACUCCGAUUGCGAAGGCAGCUUGCCAUACUGCGACUGACACUGAAGCACGAAGGCGUGGGUAUCAAACAGGAUUAGAUACCCUGGUAGUCCACGCAGUAAACGAUGAUUACUAGGAGUUUGCGAUAUACCGUCAAGCUUCCACAGCGAAAGCGUUAAGUAAUCCACCUGGGGAGUACGCCGGCAACGGUG
rnacentral:rRNA from 1 species